CAUACCAUGCAGCUGCCACCUCUUCUCAGUUACCUGACAUGAUGAUCACAUCCUCCCUGCAGGUGCCGCAAAACCACCACCAGGACCGCAGAACCAAAAAGGUGGACAAAUUUGCUUCAGGAUGUCAAUAAAGCUGCCCUUAAUGAUGGGCUUCAGGCUGACUGCAAUGGACUGUGUGCAGCACACCUGGAUAUCGUGUGAAUCUGUUACUGCUACAGCUGUGAAACUCUUCUGACAAAGGAUCCAAUGCUUCUUCUCUACUGGAAACUGUUUCUGGCAGCAUGUACGUGCCAGACCUCUUCUACCUCCUUGGAGUUGCCAAAAUGCUAUGGAUCAGAAGAAAUCCUGGAAUUGGGUGUGCAAUUGCCUUAUCACUGGAACGCCUGGAGACUUCUUAUUCAAAAGGAGAUAGAAAGGUCCAGACUACGAAGCACAUGCACACAUGCAACUACAGAAGGGCAGCGACAGAAAGCAGGGGGCUGUGGCACGGGAGACUGGAGGACAGGCUUUCGUGAUCUCUUUCUUGCUGGACGAACCUGUUUUCACCAGCAAGGUACGUAUUGCUGCCUGGCUAGACAACCCACCAAUAUCCCUCACACUGCCUUCCACCAAGCUGUAUGCCACUGGUUUUUUUGUGAAGAAUUCUGUCCAUUUUCUCUCUUCUCAAGGAGGAGGUGAAGGGGAGGCCCCAAGAGAAGGAUUCACAGAAACUGAGGAUGUUUCUGAGAAGUGGUGCUCAGCAUAUCUAUCCAGAAAGGGAAUUGAUUGACUGUCCUUCUGCCUAUCCCACAGGGGCAAAGGUAUU
rnacentral:lncRNA from 1 species